rnacentral:rRNA from 1 species
CUACGGGGGGCUGCAGUGAGGAAUAUUGCACAAUGGGGGGAACCCUGAUGCAGCAACGCCGCGUGGAGGAUGACGCAUUUCGGUGUGUAAACUCCUUUUAUAUGUCAAGAAAAUGACGGUAGCAUAUGAAUAAGCACCGGCUAACUCCGUGCCAGCAGCCGCGGUAAUACGGAGGGUGCAAGCGUUACUCGGAAUCACUGGGCGUAAAGGACGCGUAGGCGGGUUGGAAAGUCAGGUGUGAAAUCCUACAGCUUAACUGUAGAACUGCACUUGAAACUUCUAAUAUAGAGUAUGGGAGGGGGAGAUGGAAUUAGUGGUGUAGGGGUAAAAUCCGUAGAUAUCACUAGGAAUACCUAAAGCGAAGGCGAUUCCCUGGAACAUUACUGACGCUAAGGCGUGAAAGCGUGGGGAGCAAACAGGAUUAGAUACCCUUGUAGUC